GCACUUGUAGUGAUCUAUUUUUAAUUGCAUUCACAUUUUUAAGAACAAAACUGUGAACAGAGAUCAUUGUGAAUUAUAUGUAGUUUCACAGACACUUACACUUGGAGCCUGGGACACAUUUUAGGCAUCUCCAAGCAGCAACAGCAACAACAAAAUAGGAGGGAAAGAGAAAAGGGAAGAACAAAAUGUGAGAACAUAAAAAGGACUCAGACAGGCAAAAUUACACGUUAAAACUGGAUUAGACCAACAAAUGGUGACCAAAGAGAAGGAAAAAUAAAAAGAUGCAGAGACACUGUUACCAAGAAAUGUGCUUUAUCUGUAUAACAGCUGUUACUAGAGCUCGCUCUGUCUCUCAGUGAGUCCACGUGUCUCAGGAGUGAAAACAGUCCCACUGCUCUUCACUCCUCGCCCAUUUCAGUGCUUUACGUAAAAAGAAGGAGAAGAGCACAGUGUAUAGAAUCACUGAUUUUUGUUUUCAGGCUCUGUGGAGCCACACCCAGUUUUCCACGUGAACGUGUCUGCUCUAUGAUGAAGCCACUAUUUCUGAACAUAUACCUGUGUUAGAAUCACCUGCGCUGUUUGAACGCCAGUUUCCUGGGCACUACCCCGGACUGGCUGAAUGUUUCUGAGAGCAGGAUCUGGGAGUCUGCAUUUUAGCUAGCUUAUCAGUGGUUCUCAGACAUAAGGUAACUAUAUGUAAAUUACUGCCCAAUCUGGGACAUUUGAGAAUGAAAGGGAUUGGUAUUAACAAUUACACUCAGACAAGAGGUAAGACAGGAUGGGUGGUUUUCCCAGUUUGGACAUUUCCAGCCGAGGAGAUGGAAGAUGAGAUAGAAUCAGAAAGAAUACAAUGUGCUCCUGAAAGCUAAGGCAGAACAUCUAUGAAGGGGGCUGUGGGAGAUGGAGGUGUAGCCACCACCUCCUGGUUUGAAGUAGCUCCUGUUAACACAUCCACUGGAUUAGGUAAGAAGGGGUGGGUAAGCCUACAAAACCACAUUCCCCUUAAGAGGAUCCCCCGAAACAACAACAGUAAGAACACUGUUGGGACAGCCAGUGCCCGCAUGUGAGCCUGUCGAGGUCGUGGUUUAGCAGGCAAGAUGGGUCGGCUCCCGGAGGCGGAAGGAGCAUCUCCGUGUAUAGCAUGAACUGGUGUAAGCGGUGGAGCAAAGCGUGGUCCCGGGCGUCAGGAGAGAACUCGCCGGAAUCGGGCCGACGGUGAGCCCUCCUAAGCAGCUGGGAUGGUCGGGGCCCAGACCCGUGUGCUCGGCCGUACCGCCGCAGCCGGCCCCGCCCCCGCGCCCGCAGCCCUGCGUCCCUCCGCCUUCUGCGGUCCGGCCCGGCGGGGAUCUUUGGUUCCCUUGCUCCGAAGGACAGGGCUUGGGGCGGCGGAGGGCAAGCCCGCGGGCCGCUGUGCUCAGGGCGCUGCUCAUUACUCUCCGCCCCUGCGGGCCCAGUGGACAGUGGGAUCCGCACGAGGGGGCUCUGCAGGGACCGGAGAACGGAGGGCAUCGCAGCGUUGCGUGAGAGCGGACAGGUGUCCUCGGGGGCUGGAGAGCUGGGGGCCCCGGCGGAGCGGGGCCCCGCCCGGCGGACCGCCCGCCUGAGGCAUUCACGGGCCGCGGGGCUCGCGAGGGUCGGCGGGAGGUGGGAGCCGAGCCACCACCGAGACGACGGGGCCUCUAGGCUUCCUAGAGAGGCGGCGAGGAGGCGCGCCCGGGCGUCGUGACGUACUUCCGGGCUGCCGUCGCGGGGUUGGACGGGAGCCUGGCGCCCGCUCCGCGGGCAGCUCCGGCGCUGGGCUCGGCUGUUCUCCCUGCGUGGGUCCCCGGGCUGCGGGCGGCCCCGUGUCGGCGCUCGCGGGGGUUAGCGGACGCGGGGUAGCCGCGGGGAGGCCCGCCGUCUGGACGCGGCCUUCUGUCCCCUGCGCGGGUCUCCUAGGGUAACGGCCACGGCCUGGCCCCUAAAAUAGGGUCACGUGCCGCGCACAGACUGUCGCGGAACAGGGGGAAGUACCGCGUGAGUUCAGUGGCGAGGACGAGAGUUGGCGCGUCCGUCAAGUACACGCAGACCGGUGCACGGAUGUGCGGGCCCUAGGGCUCAGACCGGGGGUAGCCCGCUCGAGGCGGCGCUCUUCGCCUUACCGUGCGGUGAGGAGACGCGUAACUUGCGGUCCAGCGGCAGCCCCUGCACGGGGCAGCCUUCACGUCCGAGGGCCCUCGGAGGUGGGGGUGGCGAGCUGGGGUCACGUCCCUGCGGAGGCGGUAGGAGACGGCACGAGCGGGGAGCCCACGGCGUGCGGCAGCGCAGAACGCUGCGCCGGCGGGAACGUGGGUGUGCUGUCGCCGGGGCCAGAGGAAGAGCGCCAAUGACUGCAACGUUCCGGGAACUUAGACGUUAAAAGGCCGUGUGCUGCUCCGUUUUCAGUGUCAGCCCAUAAAAUGUCUGUAUGCACACUGCCUUGCAGAGGGACCCGGCCAAGGGCUUCCGCUGUCCUGCUCGGCCGCCGCGGUAGCUGAGUUCAGCGACAAGCUAGCGCCCGGGGACCUGCGGCAUCGCACCGUAGACGCGAAGGGCUCCUCUACAGAGAGGGCUACCUGUCUUUAAGCAGGGGAGUAGUGUAAUCCUACUAGGCUUCUAGAAAUAUUCUAGGAGAAAUGGUAAAUGAAUUGGAAGGGGGCAAGACUGGAAGCAAGAGAGAAGAGACGUGCGGUCGUCCUAGAAAGAACCAGUACUAGCAUCUUUACCUUCAAAUCAUUGGCCAGAUGACAGCGAUUCACUCUGACUAAAUAUGUUCCUAGUUUGGAGUUGAUCUAACAGUGAUGUGUUAUGUGUUAUCAUGAGCCUUAAGCUCCCCCUACUGUCGUAGUGAGCCAGUCUUCUGAGCUGUUUUGCCCAGGAAUGGAUUCAGUCCAGCCCUUUCGGGCUGCAGAACAGAAGGAAUGUCAACUAGUUACAGAAUCUAGCCUGCACAGAAAUGGUGCUUCUGACAGGAGUCCUUCAGACAAAACUUAAGGCAGUUCUGCUGGGAGGAUUCCCUUGGGCCUCAGAAGUCCAGCUCCGGGAGCUCCGCCGUCAGUGGCUGCGGCCCGAGAUGCACAGCAAGGAGCAGAUCGUGGAGCUGCUGGUGCCGGAGCAGUUCCUGACCAUCCUGCCCGAGGAGCUGCAGGCCUGGGUGCGGGAGCAGCCCAGAGUAUAGGGAGGACACGGUUCCUGGACUGGGAGGGCUUGUCGAGGAAGCUGGAUAAUCCCCAAGGACAGGUGAGAUAAGGAAGAAAUGAUCUGUCAUCAGAAGGCAGGUGUUGUCUCCAGAGAGCGAUAAGAGAGGUGAGAUCUCCUCCCACAUGUAGUGAGGGAAAUGGCCAAGAUGCACUGGCAGAGUGCGUCCCCUCCCGAUAUUCUAUGUGCUUUAAUUCCCCGUCCUUGCAGGUCAAGGGAAAGUGCUUUCUGUCCAGCUUUUCUAUGUUCCCCAUUAAUAUUGGGAUCGAAGCUCUAGAACUCUCCGCAUAUAUCACCCUGGUCAAAUUGAUCCCAUUGUCCCUGGAUCCUAGUUCUACAGGGACAGGAAGGGCCCCAGGGGCAGAAGCUUUAUAUGGCAGCAGCAGAGGACUCACGGGGUCCAGCUCCGGCCAGAACGGGUUAGCUCAAUGCUGAACCUUGGGAGCUGCCUCCAUUCAGGAGAAAGAUGAUUUGGUUGAAAUGGAGAAUGAGAAGAUGCUUCCAAAGUAGAAGACAUCUGAAGAAAUAACAUGCCAACAGGGACACAUUGUCAGAUUAGAUGGAGGUGUUGCUCAGUGCUUUCGUUACAUAAAAGUCCAGAAAUACCAGGGAAGACUAGAAGGAUAUCCAUGAUGGCGUAAGUGUGAUGAAUGUGGAAUGAGUUUCACUCAGAGCUCCAUCCGAGCUACACACUGAGGAGAAACUCUAUGAAUGUGAUGAGCGUGGAAGAGCUUUUAGUCCAGAGUGCAGGCUUCACUGAAGAUAAGAGAGUUCACGCAAUUUGACUCACAGAUGUGGAGGAUAUGGGACAAUAUGCAAACUGGACUAGUUCAUCACAGAGAAGCCAUCUUGGAGAGAGACCCUGUAAUAGAAGUGACAGGUAAAGCCUUGGAGAGUGGUCAGCUCUUAACCAGCACCAGAGACUUCACACCAGCGAGAAGUGUUACCAUCCGAACAAGUGUGGAAGAGCUAAUAGUCAGAACACAGAGCUUUUCCACUGUGUCAGAAUCUGUGUUGGAGAAAAACUCUUAGUGUAAUUGUAGUAAAAAUUUUCCUGGACAUUUUAUUCCUUAUUCAGUAUCAGAAAAGUCACUCGAGAGAAUGUGGGAAGUUGAUAAAUAUGGAUGGAAAGGCUGUGAACAGUAGCAUCUAACACUAAAAACUUUUAAGUGUCCAGCAUCUGAGACUGGCAAGGCAGAAUCUCUUCAUUCCAGACCUGUAGGUGGUCUUUGAUGGGAACUGGCCCUUCAGAAUGUCCCUCAAAACCUGGUCAGAUUCAAUAGAGCAAGCCAGUUACUUUUUCCUUAACAGCCUCAUCAAACAAGCUACAUUAUUUUAGUGAUUCAAAGGGCUGCCUAUGGUCCACCACUUCAGAUUUCCAGAUGUUUUAUUAGUUGUUCCUAAAUACAGUUCUUACAAAA